rnacentral:rRNA from 1 species
GUACACUCCUGCGGGAAGCAGCAGUGGGGAAUAUUGGACAAUGGGCGCAAGCCUGAUCCAGCCAUGCCGCGUGAGUGAUGAAGGCCCUAGGGUUGUAAAGCUCUUUCACCGGUGAAGAUAAUGACGGUAACCGGAGAAGAAGCCCCGGCUAACUUCGUGCCAGCAGCCGCGGUAAUACGAAGGGGGCUAGCGUUGUUCGGAUUUACUGGGCGUAAAGCGCACGUAGGCGGACUAUUAAGUCAGGGGUGAAAUCCCGGGGCUCAACCCCGGAACUGCCUUUGAUACUGGUAGUCUUGAGUUCGAGAGAGGUGAGUGGAAUUCCGAGUGUAGAGGUGAAAUUCGUAGAUAUUCGGAGGAACACCAGUGGCGAAGGCGGCUCACUGGCUCGAUACUGACGCUGAGGUGCGAAAGCGUGGGGAGCAAACAGGAUUAGAUACCCCUGUAGUCCCAUG